rnacentral:rRNA from 1 species
GAUGAACGCUGACAGAAUGCUUAACACAUGCAAGUCUACUUGAACUUCGGUUUGGGUGGCGGACGGGUGAGUCACGCGUAAAGAACUUGCCUCACAGUUAGGGACAACAUUUGGAAACGAAUGCUAAUACCUGAUAUUAUGAUUUUAGGGCAUCCUAGGAUUAUGAAAGCUAUAUGUGCUGUGAGAGAGCUUUGCGUCCCAUUAGCUAGUUGGAGAGGUAACGGCUCACCAAGGCGAUGAUGGGUAGCCGGCCUGAGAGGGUGAACGGCCACAAGGGGACUGAGACACGGCCCUUACUCCUACGGGAGGCAACAGUGGGGAAUAUUGGACAAUGGACCAAAAGUCUGAUCCAGCAAUUCUGUGUGCACGAUGACGUUUUUCGGAAUGUAAAGUGCUUUCAGUUGGGAAGAAAAAAAUGACGGUACCAACAGAAGAAGUGACGGCUAAAUACGUG